UAGGGAAUAUUGGACAAUGGGUGAGAGCCUGAUCCAGCCAUGCCGCGUGCAGGAAGAAGGCGUUAUGCGUUGUAAACUGCUUUUUGCCAGGGGAUAAAAAGACCGUGCGCGGUUAAUUGAAGGUACCUGGUGAAUAAGCCACGGCUAACUACGUGCCAGCAGCCGCGGUAAUACGUAGGUGGCAAGCGUUGUCCGGAUUUAUUGGGUUUAAAGGGUGCGUAGGUGGCCCUGUAAGUCAGUGGUGAAAUAUCUCAGCUUAACUGAGAGGGUGCCAUUGAUACUGCAGGGCUUGAGUACAGAUGAGGUAGGCGGAAUUGACGGUGUAGCGGUGAAAUGCAUAGAUAUCGUCAAGAACACCGAUAGCGAAGGCAGCUUACCAAGCUGUAACUGACACUGAGGCACGAAAGUGUGGGGAUCAAACAGGAUUAGAUACCCUCGUAGUCCCUGAGCGGGCUGGCAAGGCGCAU
rnacentral:rRNA from 1 species